UCAAGUAGCUCCAGCAAUCACGUGCUCACUCUUGCUUCACAGACUAUGUAUGGUCAGUUCAGAAAAUUGGAGGUUUUAGGAUCUUUGGAAGUUUUUUGAGGCAUCACCCUUCUUGUCCGCAGUUAAAAGGUUUGACGCAGUACAGUGCGGGGGAGGCGGUGUCCUCUGCAGCUAGGUCUACUUGCUGGCGACCUCACCAUCACCAACCCAUCUACAGCCUACUUGAAUGGAUAUGGUUCUUGAGAGGCCAUUUCUUAUGCAUCAGGCCCUGAAGGUGGAUGUUGCUUGUAUGCUAAGCAAGGAAGAGGCAUGCCCUACCUGGCAGCGACCACCUUCCACUCAAGGGAUAUAGCACUAUCAUUUA